GCUAGAUUCAGGGAAAUCUUCCUGGAGGAGGCUCCAGGACUCAUGCUGGGAGGGCAGAAGGAAAAGACUGGGCUGAGGCCAAGCAGAGAUGAAAGUUGUUUUCGAGUAUUAACCUGAUCAGGAAAGGAGAGUUGGUGGAGACCCCUCAACAUCCUCGGCCGCAGGCCCAUCACACCCAUACUCAUCUCCGGAGGAGUUCCAGUUCAGAGAGGAGGUCUAGCCAGACUGGCAGCUGUGCUGUUCUGUCCCUCACUGACUUUUUCCUCCAGCAGAUGGGCCCCAGGGCCCCACUGUCAGGCCAUCCCCAGAACGAAAUAAAAGCAUUUUUAUGAGAGAAAGAGACAGAGGGGGAAAUGAGUGCUAGG
rnacentral:lncRNA from 10 species